rnacentral:rRNA from 1 species
UGGGGAAUUUUGGACAAUGGGCGAAAGCCUGAUCCAGCAAUGCCGCGUGUGUGAAGAAGGCCUUCGGGUUGUAAAGCACUUUUGUCCGGAAAGAAAUCCUUGGCUCUAAUACAGUCGGGGGAUGACGGUACCGGAAGAAUAAGCACCGGCUAACUACGUGCCAGCAGCCGCGGUAAUACGUAGGGUGCAAGCGUUAAUCGGAAUUACUGGGCGUAAAGCGUGCGCAGGCGGUUUGCUAAGACCGAUGUGAAAUCCCCGGGCUCAACCUGGGAACUGCAUUGGUGACUGGCAGGCUAGAGUAUGGCAGAGGGGGGUAGAAUUCCACGUGUAGCAGUGAAAUGCGUAGAGAUGUGGAGGAAUACCGAUGGCGAAGGCAGCCCCCUGGGCCAAUACUGACGCUCAUGCACGAAAGCGUGGGGAGCAAACAGGAUUAGAUACCCCUGGUAGUCCCACGCCCUAAACGAUGUCAACUAGUUGUUGGGGAUUCAUUCCUUAGUAACGUAGCUAACGCGUGAAGUUGACCGCCUGGGGAGUACGGUCGCAAGAUU